AUUGAACGCUGGCGGCAUGCCUUACACAUGCAAGUCGAACGGUAACAGGUCUUCGGAUGCUGACGAGUGGCGAACGGGUGGGUAAUACAUCGGAACGUGCCCGAUCGUGGGGGAUAACGAAGCGAAAGCUUUGCUAAUACCGCAUACGAUCUAAGGAUGAAAGCAGGGGACCGCAAGGCCUUGCGCGAACGGAGCGGCCGAUGGCGGAUUAGGUAGUUGGUGGGAUAAAAGCUUACCAAGCCGACGAUCUGUAGCUGGUCUGAGAGGACGACCAGCAACACUGGGACUGAGACACGGCCCAGACUCCUACGGGAGGCAGCAGUGGGGAAUUUUGGACAAUGGGCGAAAGCCUGAUCCAGCCAUGCCGCGUGCAGGAUGAAGGCCUUCGGGUUGUAAACUGCUUUUGUACGGAACGAAAAGACUCUGGUUAAUACCUGGGGUCCAUGACGGUACCGUAAGAAUAAGGACCGACUAACUACGUGCCAGCCGCCGCAGUAA
rnacentral:rRNA from 1 species